rnacentral:rRNA from 1 species
AAACAUCGCCUCUUGCAAAAUUAAUAAAUAAGAGGUCCCGCCUGCCCUGUGACUAUAAGUUUAACGGCCGCGGUAUUUUGACCGUGCGAAGGUAGCGCAAUCACUUGUCUUUUAAAUGAAGACCUGUAUGAAUGGCAUAACGAGGGCUUAACUGUCUCCUCUCUCCAGUCAAUGAAAUUGAUCUUCCCGUGCAGAAGCGGGAAUACACACAUAAGACGAGAAGACCCUAUGGAGCUUUAGACACCAAGACAGAUCAUGUUAAUAACCCUAAAUUAAAGGACUAAACCAAAUGGAACCUGCCCUAAUGUCUUUGGUUGGGGCGACCGCGGGGAAUUGAAAAACCCCCACGUGGAAUGGGAGCACCCCUCCUACAACUAAGAGCUACAGCUCUAGUAAACAGAAAUUCUGACCAGUAAGAUCCGGCAAUGCCGAUCAACGGACCGAGUUACCCUAGGGAUAACAGCGCAAUCCUCUUUUAGAGCCCAUAUCGACAAGGGGGUUUACGACCUCGAUGUUGGAUCAGGACAUCCUAAUGGUGCAGCCGCUAUUAAGGGUUCGUUUGUUCAACGAUUAAAGUCCUACGUGAUCUG